GACGAACGCUGGCGGCGUGCUUAACACAUGCAAGUCGAACGGAAAGGCCCUGCUUUUGUGGGGUGCUCGAGUGGCGAACGGGUGAGUAACACGUGAGUAACCUGCCCUUGACUUUGGGAUAACUUCAGGAAACUGGGGUUAAUACCGGAUAGGAGCUCAUGCUGCAUGGUGGGGGUUGGAAAGUUUCGGCGGUCGGGGAUGGACUCGCGGCUUAUCAGCUUGUUGGUGGGGUAGUGGCUUACCAAGGAUUUGACGGGUAGCCGGCCUGAGAGGGUGACCGGCCACAUUGGGACUGAGAUACGGCCCAGACUCCUACGGUAGGCAGCAGUGGGGAAUAUUGCACAAUGGGCGGAAGCCUGAUGCAGCAACGCCGCGUGCGGGAUGACGGCCUUCGGGUUGUAAACCGCUUUCGCCUGUGACGAAGCGUGAGUGACGGUAAUGGGUAAAGAAGCACCGGCUAACUACGUG
rnacentral:rRNA from 1 species